rnacentral:rRNA from 1 species
UUAAGCGACUAAGCGUACACGGUGGAUGCCCUGGCAGUCAGAGGCGAUGAAGGACGUGCUAAUCUGCGAAAAGCGUCGGUAAGGUGAUAUGAACCGUUAUAACCGGCGAUGUCCGAAUGGGGAAACCCAGUGCAAUUCGUUGCACUAUCGUUAACUGAAUACAUAGGUUAACGAGGCGAACCGGGGGAACUGAAACAUCUAAGUACCCCGAGGAAAAGAAAUCAACCGAGAUUCCCCCAGUAGCGGCGAGCGAACGGGGAGCAGCCCAGAGUCUGAAUCAGCUUGUGUGUUAGUGGAACGGUCUGGAAAGUCCGACGGUACAGGGUGAUAGUCCCGUACACCAAAAUGCACAGGCUGUGAACUCGAAGAGUAGGGCGGGACACGUGGUAUCCUGUCUGAAUAUGGGGGGACCAUCCUCCAAGGCUAAAUACUCCUGACUGACCGAUAGUGAACCAGUACCGUGAGGGAAAGGCGAAAAGAACCCCGGCGAGGGGAGUGAAAAAGAACCUGAAACCGUGUACGUACAAGCAGUGGGAGCACCUUCGGGUGUGACUGCGUACCUUUUGUAUAAUGGGUCAGCGACUUAUAUUCUGUAGCAAGGUUAACCGUAUAGGGGAGCCGCAGGGAAACCGAGUCUUAACUGGGCGUUAAGUUGCAGGGUAUAGACCCGAAACCCGGUGAUCUAGCCAUGGGCAGGUUGAAGGUUGGGUAACACUAACUGGAGGACCGAACCGACUAAUGUUGAAAAAUUAGCGGAUGACUUGUGGCUGGGGGUGAAAGGCCAAUCAAACCGGGAGAUAGCUGGUUCUCCCCGAAAGCUAUUUAGGUAGCGCCUCGUGAACUCAUCUUCGGGGGUAGAGCACUGUUUCGGCUAGGGGGUCAUCCCGACUUACCAACCCGAUGCAAACUACGAAUACCGAAGAAUGUUAUCACGGGAGACACACGGCGGGUGCUAACGUCCGUCGUGAAGAGGGAAACAACCCAGACCGCCAGCUAAGGUCCCAAAGUCAUGGUUAAGUGGGAAACGAUGUGGGAAGGCACAGACAGCCAGGAUGUUGGCUUAGAAGCAGCCAUCAUUUAAAGAAAGCGUAAUAGCUCACUGGUCGAGUCGGCCUGCGCGGAAGAUGUAACGGGGCUAAACCAUGCACCGAAGCUGCGGCAGCGACACUAUGUGUUGUUGGGUAGGGGAGCGUUCUGUAAGCCUGCGAAGGUGUGCUGUGAGGCAUGCUGGAGGUAUCAGAAGUGCGAAUGCUGACAUAAGUAACGAUAAAGCGGGUGAAAAGCCCGCUCGCCGGAAGACCAAGGGUUCCUGUCCAACGUUAAUCGGGGCAGGGUGAGUCGACCCCUAAGGCGAGGCCGAAAGGCGUAGUCGAUGGGAAACAGGUUAAUAUUCCUGUACUUGGUGUUACUGCGAAGGGGGGACGGAGAAGGCUAUGUUAGCCGGGCGACGGUUGUCCCGGUUUAAGCAUGUAGGCUGAUUGUCCAGGCAAAUCCGGAUAAUCAAGGCUGAGGUGUGAUGACGAGGCACUACGGUGCUGAAGUAACAAAUGCCCUGCUUCCAGGAAAAGCCUCUAAGCAUCAGGUAACAUCAAAUCGUACCCCAAACCGACACAGGUGGUCAGGUAGAGAAUACCAAGGCGCUUGAGAGAACUCGGGUGAAGGAACUAGGCAAAAUGGUGCCGUAACUUCGGGAGAAGGCACGCUGGUGUGUAGGUGAAGUCCCUGCGGAUGGAGCUGAGACCAGUCGAAGAUACCAGCUGGCUGCAACUGUUUAUUAAAAACACAGCACUGUGCAAACACGAAAGUGGACGUAUACGGUGUGACGCCUGCCCGGUGCCGGAAGGUUAAUUGAUGGGGUUAUCCGUAAGGAGAAGCUCUUGAUCGAAGCCCCGGUAAACGGCGGCCGUAACUAUAACGGUCCUAAGGUAGCGAAAUUCCUUGUCGGGUAAGUUCCGACCUGCACGAAUGGCGUAAUGAUGGCCAGGCUGUCUCCACCCGAGACUCAGUGAAAUUGAACUCGCUGUGAAGAUGCAGUGUACCCGCGGCAAGACGGAAAGACCCCGUGAACCUUUACUAUAGCUUGACACUGAACAUUGAGCCUUGAUGUGUAGGAUAGGUGGGAGGCUUUGAAGCGUGGACGCCAGUCUGCGUGGAGCCAACCUUGAAAUACCACCCUUUAAUGUUUGAUGUUCUAACGUUGGCCCCUGACCGGGGUUGCGGACAGUGUCUGGUGGGUAGUUUGACUGGGGCGGUCUCCUCCCAAAGCGUAACGGAGGAGCACGAAGGUUAGCUAAUCCUGGUCGGACAUCAGGAGGUUAGAACAUCAAACAU